GGCCUCCCUCUCUUGGGGUUGUUGGGGGGGGGUCCCUUUUCUCCUCAGCCAAGGAUGGCAGUCAAGAUCAGCCCUUGAGGAUCAUGGUCAGGACCACCAUGAGCUAGGCAGCCCUGUUUUCCUGCCUCAGACAUUU